CGGAGGAUCCAAGCGUUAUCCGGAAUCACUGGGUUUAAAGGGUCCGUAGGCGGUUUAUUAAGUCAGUGGUGAAAUCUGGUCGCUCAACGAUCAAACGGCCAUUGAUACUGAUAGACUUGAAUUAUUGGGAAGUAACUAGAAUAUGUAGUGUAGCGGUGAAAUGCUUAGAUAUUACAUGGAAUACCAAUUGCGAAGGCAGGUUACUACCAAUGGAUUGACGCUGAUGGACGAAAGCGUGGGGAGCGAACAGGAUUAGAUACCCUGGUAGUCCACGCCGUAAACGAUGGAUACUAGCUGUUCGGAGCAAUCUGAGUGGCUAAGCGAAAGUGAUAAGUAUCCCACCUGGGGAGUACGUUCGCAAGAAUG
rnacentral:rRNA from 1 species